GAUGAAGGUAUUUUGUUCACGUUAUUAUGGGACAUCACAGACACCAGGAGCCCUACUGGACAACACGGGGGAGUAGCCAGAUUGAUGUGUAAGAGCUGUUCCUGUUGUGACCAUCUGCCUUGGAUUGUCUGAGGACCAAAAUGUGCUCCUCAUCCCAAAAGAGAAGCAUCCUAUGUUAAUACAACUGUAGGGGGAUUCUGGUUGAACAGGAUUCCUGAACAAACUUUGGAUGGAUUCAUCCACCAGGCACGUACAUCCCUAAAGACCUAUCUGUUGCCCUACUGUCCUUUAGGGUAUGAAGCGAGUCAUCCAUGGAAUCUGUGGAAAGCUUCUGGCCGUAGAAAAGUAGAUCUUCCAUAGUCGAUUGUACCUCUCACGGAAACCCAGACAACUGAAGCCAGGAAGUUUGCCUCUUCACUACCCCAGUGGAAAUAGACCUGACUGCAGUGUCCGCUGCACCGAGUGAAGCUUUUGCUAAAA